rnacentral:rRNA from 1 species
UGGGGAAUAUUGGGCAAUGGGCGAAAGCCUGACCCAGCAACGCCGCGUGAGGGAAGAAGGUUUUCGGAUUGUAAACCUCUGUCCUUGGGGACGAAAAAAUGACGGUACCCAAGGAGGAAGCCCCGGCUAACUACGUGCCAGCAGCCGCGGUAAUACGUAGGGGCGAGCGUUGUCCGGAAUUACUGGGCGUAAAGGGUGCGUAGGCGGUUAUUUAAGUCAGAUGUGAAAUCCCGGGCUCAACCCGGGUAUUGCAUUUGAGACUGGGUAACUAGAGUGCAGGAGAGGGAAGCGGAAUUCCUAGUGUAGCGGUGAAAUGCGUAGAUAUUAGGAGGAACACCAGUGGCGAAGGCGGCUUUCUGGACUGUAACUGACGCUGAGGCACGAAAGCGUGGGGAGCAAA